AACGAGAGAGAAGGAGCUUGCUUCUUCGAUCGAGUGGCGAACGGGUGAGUAAUGCGUGAGGAACCUGCCUCAAAGAGGGGGACAACAGUUGGAAACGACUGCUAAUACCGCAUAAGCCCACGGUACCGCAUGGUACUGAGGGAAAAGGAUUUAUUCGCUUUAGGAUGGACUCGCGUCCGAUUAGCUAGUUGGUGAGGUAACGGCCCACCAAGGCGACGAUCGGUAGCCGGACUGAGAGGUUGAACGGCCACAUUGGGACUGAGACACGGCCCAGACUCC
rnacentral:rRNA from 1 species